GACAAUUUUGAAAUUUUUGAAGUUUCAACCAUUUCACCUCUUUGUGUAGUUUUGUGUGCGUGCGUGCGUGCGUGCGUGCGUGCGUGCGUGCGUGCGUGCGUGCGUGCGUGCGUGUGUGCGUGCUGUUACAGGUAUCAACAUUAUGAGUCAGAGAAACACUUGUGAGGCUUGCAGGGAGCACCAAGCUGAUUUAGUUUUCAAAGACAGCACUGAGCUGGUCGGUCCAGGAAGAGCCUUCAGGCCCCGGCAUCCUCCACAAGAACAAGAACAAAGUUCGGCAGCCGGCUGAUAUUUCAUCCUCCAGCCGAAGGAGAACUCAAAGGCCACGCCCCUCUGAGGCCACGCCCCCUCAGUGCUGGCUCUGCUUCUCCAGCAACUUUUUCCAGAAACUCUACAUGGCUGGAUGGUGUAACAACGGCGUUUUUAUGGAAGAGUUGGUGAAGAGGAUUAUUGAUUCAAGCUGCCUUCCAUGAGCAGAUGAAGAAUACGAGUCCAAUCUCCUUCAACAGAGUUCACCACUUCACCGUCCUCAUUCAGAUGCAGCUGCUGCACCACCCGCAAGGUACAUCCACCAACUCCACCCGCACUGCUGCUCCUGCCCAGUGGCAGUGUGGAGGGUGGAGGAGGGUGGAGGAGGGGAGAAGCCGCCGGGACUCCCAUCAUCUCAACAAGUGACUUUCUGAAGUUUUCCUCCAGGACUUGUGCCUGGCAGGAGGAAAUUAUAGGGGUUGUUAUUACUUCGUUUUAAAACCAAAAAUUUAAUAAAAAUAUUUUAAAUAUAGCAACCGAUGUGAAUAAUUUCUGCCAUGUCAUUUAAAGACGUUUGAUUCAGAAAUAUAUCUUUUUUUAAAUUCUGGUUCAUGAUUUUUUGGAGAGAUUGUGAGGACUAUGCAAGUUGUAUUUAUCUAUUUAUUUUAAAUGGCAAUAUGUAAUAAAGCCAUAAUGGUUGAA